CAGGAACUGCAUGCGAUGAAUUUUCCUGAGAGUCUGAAAAAUUUUUGGACUUGAAUUCUUCUUACUCUGUGCCAAGUUUCAGCCUUUCCAGAUAACGCCAUCUUUGCCAAGAACGAUAACUCUAAUCUAUUGCAGAACUGUUCGGAGUCGGCCAUGUUGACUUCAUAUGGCUCGGAGUAAACAAAUUUCACCAGUUAUAUUCGGAUGCUUUAUGAGGUGUAAAUAAACUUUCCUGGAUAAUCAAGAUUUCAGUGAUUACCAGCCAGAGACUGUGUGUAAAUAUUCUUUCGCUUGUUUGUUUAUUCCUGUAUAUACCCCUUGUUGGAAAACUCAAGGAUUCAUCUUUGGUUUUACUUCAUUGAGGAUUUUUCCUAAAGACAUUGAAAAAAAAAAAAAGAAAAGAAAAAAGACAAAAAAAAAAGAUUUAUUCAGUUGAGCUUUUAAGGUAUGUAUUUAUUAAAUAAUA